rnacentral:tRNA from 1 species
AGUCUUAUAUUCAAGAAUGAUUUUAAAUUGCAAAUUUAAAGGUGAAAAUUAAUUUCUAAGACUU